rnacentral:SRP_RNA from 1 species
GCCAGGCGUGGUGGCGCAUGCCUGUAAUCCGAGCUACCUGGGAGGCUGAGGCAGGAGAAUUGCUUGAACCCGGGAGGCGGAGCUUGCAGUGAGCCAAGAUCAUGACAGUGCACUCCAGCCUGGGUGACAAAGUGAGACUCUGUCUCAA